GUGUCAGCAGCCGCGGUAAUACAUAGGGUGCAAGCGUUGUCCGGAAUUAUUGGGCGUAAAGAGCUCGUAGGUCGUUUGUCGCGUCGAUUGUGAAAAUCUGAGGCUCAACCUCAGACCUGCAGUCGAUACGGGCAAACUAGAGUGUGGUAGGGGAGACUGGAAUUCCUGGUGUAGCGGUGGAAUGCGCAGAUAUCAGGAGGAACACCAAUGGCGAAGGCAGGUCUCUGGGCCAUAACUGACACUGAGGAGCGAAAGUGCGGGGAGCGAACAGGAUUAGAUACCCUGGUAGUCCAGACCGUAAACGGUGGGCACUAGUUGUGGGAACCUUCCACGGUUUCUGCGACGCAGCUAACGCAUUAAGUGCCCCGCCUGGGGAGUACGAUCGCAAGAUUAAA
rnacentral:rRNA from 1 species